rnacentral:rRNA from 1 species
GACGUAGGGGGCGAGCGUUGUCCGGAUUUAUUGGGCGUAAAGCGUGCGUAGGCGGCUGCGCAAGUCGGGUGUGAAACCCCGGGGCUCAACCCCGGAACUGCAUCCGAUACUGCGUGGCUAGAGGUAGGUAGGGGAGAUCGGAAUUCCUGGUGUAGCGGUGAAAUGCGCAGAUAUCGGGAGGAACACCAGUAGCGAAGGCGGCUCGCUGGGCCACACCUGACGCUGAGGAGCGAAAGCGUGGGGAGCGAACAGG